UACGAAGGGGGCUAGCGUUGUUCGGAAUUACUGGGCGUAAAGGGCGCGUAGGCGGUCCUGAUCGUCGGAUGUGAAAGGCCUGGGCUCAACCUGGGAACUGCAUCCGAUACGGCGGGACUGGAGUGUGGGAGAGGUUGGUGGAAUUCCCGGUGUAGAGGUGAAAUUCGUAGAUAUUGGGAAGAACACCGGUGGCGAAGGCGGCCAACUGGACCACAACUGACGCUGAGGCGCGAAAGCGUGGGGAGCAAACAGG
rnacentral:rRNA from 1 species